UACGGCCCUAUCACAUUGAAACACCGGUUCCCGUCCGAUCAUUGAAGUUAACGUCGAGCCUGGUCAGUAGCAAUAUGGGUGAUUGUUUGGAAAUACCAGGUGCUGUAA